UACCUGGUUGAUCCUGCCAGUAGUCAUAUGCUUGUCUCAAAGAUUAAGCCAUGCAAGUCUAAGUACGAGCUCUCGUACAGUGAAACUGCGAAUGGCUCAUUAAAUCAGUUAUGGUUCAUUUGAUCGUACAGUUUACUUGGAUAACUGUGGUAAUUCUAGAGCUAAUACAUGCGAGAAGCGCCGACCUCGCGGGAGGCGUGCAUUUAUCAGACCAAAAACCGGCCGCGUCUUCGGGCGCGUUCGCCUUGGUGACUCUGGAUAACUUUGCGGAUCGCACGGUCUAGCACCGGCGACGGAUCAUUCAAGUGUCUGCCCUAUCAACUUUCGUCGGUACGGUAUUUGCCUACCGAGGUUCUUACGGGUGACGGGGAAUCAGGGUUCGAUUCCGGAGAGGGAGCCUGAGAAACGGCUACCACAUCCAAGGAAGGCAGCAGGCGCGCAAAUUACCCAUUCCCGACGCGGGGAGGUAGUGACGAAAAAUAACAAUGCAGGACUCGUUCGAGGCCCUGUAAUUGGAAUGAGUACACUUUAAAAGCUUUAACGUGUAUCCAUUGGAGGGCAAGUCUGGUGCCAGCAGCCGCGGUAAUUCCAGCUCCAAAAGUAUAUAUUUAAGUUGUUGCGGUUAAAAAGCUCGUAGUUGGAUUUUGGGCGCAGGCGGCCGGUCCGUCGCAAGGCGUGUACUGGACGUCCUGGCCUUCCCUCCGGUUCUCCGCCGGUGCUCUUGACUGAGUGUCGGCGGCGGCCGGAACGUUUACUUUGAAAAAAUUAGAGUGUUCAAAGCAGGCUCUCGAGCCUGGAUAAUGGUGCAUGGAAUAAUGGAAUAGGACCUCGGUUCUAUUUUGUUGGUUUUCGGAGCGCGAGGUAAUGAUUAAGAGGGACAGACGGGGGCAUUCGUACUGUGCCGUUAGAGGUGAAAUUCUUGGAUCGGCGCAAGACGAACGACUGCGAAAGCAUUUGCCAAGAAUGUUUUCUUUAAUCAAGAGCGAAAGUCAGAGGUUCGAAGACGAUC
rfam:Ciona savignyi cont_42615, whole genome shotgun sequence.